GAUGAACGCUGGCGGCGUGCCUAAUACAUGCAAGUCGAGCGAACAGACGAGGAGCUUGCUCCUCUGACGUUAGCGGCGGACGGGUGAGUAACACGUGGAUAACCUACCUAUAAGACUGGGAUAACUUCGGGAAACCGGAGCUAAUACCGGAUAAUAUAUUGAACCGCAUGGUUCAAUAGUGAAAGACGGUUUUGCUGUCACUUAUAGAUGGAUCCGCGCCGCAUUAGCUAGUUGGUAAGGUAACGGCUUACCAAGGCAACGAUGCGUAGCCGACCUGAGAGGGUGAUCGGUCACUCUGGAACUGAGACACGGUCCAGACUCCUACGGGAGGCAGCAGUAGGGAAUCUUCCGCAAUGGGCGAAAGCUUGACGGAGCAACGCCGCGUGAGUGAUGAAGGUCUUCGGAUCGUAAAACUCUGUUAUUAGGGAAGAACAAAUGUGUAAGUAACUAUGCACGUCUUGACGGUACCUAAUCAGAAAGCCACGGCUAACUACGUG
rnacentral:rRNA from 1 species